rnacentral:rRNA from 1 species
GCGUUGUCCGGAUUUACUGGGCGUAAAGCGCGUGUAGGCGGCCGCGUAAGUGGGGUGUGAAAGCCCGGGGCUCAACCCCGGGACGCCGCCCCAUACUGUGUGGCUUGAGGUCGGAAGAGGGGAGUGGAAUUCCUGGUGUAGCGGUGAAAUGCGUAGAGAUCAGGAGGAACCCCCGUGGCGAAGGCGGCUCCCUGGUCCGAUUCUGACGCUGAGACGCGAAAGCGCG